UGCGUAGGUGGUUUGUCGCGUCUGCUGUGAAAACUGGAGGCUCAACCUCCAGCCUGCAGUGGGUACGGGCAGACUAGAGUGCGGUAGGGGAGAUUGGAAUUCCUGGUGUAGCGGUGGAAUGCGCAGAUAUCAGGAGGAACACCGAUGGCGAAGGCAGAUCUCUGGGCCGUAACUGACGCUGAGGAGCGAAAGCAUGGGGAGCGAACA
rnacentral:rRNA from 1 species